rnacentral:rRNA from 1 species
UACGAAGGGGGCUAGCGUUGCUCGGAAUCACUGGGCGUAAAGCGCACGUAGGCGGGUCUUUAAGUCGGGGGUGAAAUCCUGAGGCUCAACCUCAGAACUGCCUUCGAUACUGAUGAUCUUGAGUCCGGGAGAGGUGAGUGGAACUGCGAGUGUAGAGGUGAAAUUCGUAGAUAUUCGCAAGAACACCAGUGGCGAAGGCGGCUCACUGGCCCGGUACUGACGCUGAGAUACGAAAGCGUGGGGAGCAAACAGG